rnacentral:rRNA from 1 species
GGGCGCUAGGUGUAGGGGGCUUCCACGUCUUCUGUGCCGUAGCUAACGCAUUAAGCGCCCCGCCUGGGGAGUACGGCCGCAAGGCUAAAACUCAAAGGAAUUGACGGGGGCCCGCACAAGCGGCGGAGCAUGUGGAUUAAUUCGAUGCAACGCGAAGAACCUUACCUGGGCUUGACAUAUACAAGACAGGCGUAGAGAUACGUCCUCCCUUGUGGUUUGUAUACAGGUGGUGCAUGGUUGUCGUCAGCUCGUGUCGUGAGAUGUUGGGUUAAGUCCCGCAACGAGCGCAACCCUUGUCUUAUGUUGCCAGCAUUUGGUUGGGGACUCAUGAGAGACUGCCGGGGUCAACUCGGAGGAAGGUGGGGAUGACGUCAAAUCAUCAUGCCCCUUAUGUCCAGGGCUUCACACAUGCUACAAUGGUCGGUACAACGCGCAGCGACACUGUGAGGUGGAGCGAAUCGCUGAAAGCCGGCCUUAGUUCGGAUUGGGUCUGCAAAUCGACCCUGAAUCGGACGAACGCAGAGAACGUGGGAAC